UAGGGAAUCUUCGGCAAUGGGGGGAACCCUGACCGAGCAACGCCGCGUGAGUGAAGAAGGUUUUCGGAUCGUAAAGCUCUGUUGUUAAGGAAGAACGAGUGUGAGAAUGGAAAGUUCAUACUGUGACGGUACUUAACCAGAAAGGGACGGCUAACUACGUGCCAGCAGCCGCGGUAAUACGUAGGUCCCGAGCGUUGUCCGGAUUUAUUGGGCGUAAAGCGAGCGCAGGCGGUUAGAUAAGUCUGAAGUUAAAGGCAGUGGCUCAACCAUUGUAGGCUUUGGAAACUGUUUAACUUGAGUGCAGAAGGGGAGAGUGGAAUUCCAUGUGUAGCGGUGAAAUGCGCAGAUAUUAGGAGGAAUACCGGUGGCGAAGGCGACUUUCUGGCCAUAACCUGACGCUGAGGUACGAAAGCGUGGGUAGCAAACAGG
rnacentral:rRNA from 1 species